UGAGGAAUCUUGCGCAAUGGGGGCAACCCUGACGCAGCAACGCCGCGUGAGUGAUGAAGGCCUUCGGGUCGUAAAGCUCUGUCAGAUGGGAAGAAAAUUUCAGCAGUGAAGAAUUGCUGGAAUCGACGGUACCGUCAAAGGAAGCACCGGCUAACUCCGUGCCAGCAGCCGCGGUAAUACGGAGGGUGCAAGCGUUGUUCGGAAUUAUUGGGCGUAAAGAGCGUGUAGGCGGUCGGAUUAGUCAGAUGUGAAAUCCCUUGGCUCAACCAAGGAAGGGCAUUUGAAACUGUCCGGCUUGAGUACGAGAGGGGGAAGCGGAAUUCCCGGUGUAGAGGUGAAAUUCGUAGAUAUCGGGAGGAACACCGGUGGCGAAGGCGGCUUCCUGGACCGAUACUGACGCUGAGACGCGAAAGCGUGGGGAGCAAACAGG
rnacentral:rRNA from 1 species